UGGAGGAAGAGGACACAGGCGACGACCCUGAGGAGGACACAGUAGAAAGUGUCGUGUCUCCACCCGAGCUGCCCCCAAGAAACAUCCCGCUGACUGCCAGCUCCUGUGAGGCCAAGGAGGUUUCUUUUUCAAACGAGAAUCCCCGAGCGACCGAGACCAGCCGGCCGAGCCUCUCCGAGACAUUGUUCCAGCGACUGCAAAGCAUGGACACCAGUGGGCUUCCAGAAGAGCAUCUUAAGGCCAUCCAAGAUUAUUUAAGCACUCAGCUCGCCCAGGACUCUGAAUUUGUGAAGACGGGGUCCAGCAGUCUUCCUCACCUGAAGAAACUGACCACACUGCUCUGCAAGGAGCUCUAUGGGUAAUGGCUGGCCCACGGGGGCGGGCAGGUGGGGGCGGCCACCAGGUGAGAGAAACAGCUCAUGAGAGCGACCUCUGCCUCUGCCUGGCUGAACAAAUGCCUCUGCCGCACUCACAAUAAUUGAGUGGUGAGCACAGCUUGGAAAUCUCUGUGGUUGUUUGGAGGUCUUGUUAUCAUGGAAUUUGAACAGUAGCUUGUGUGUGCUGCAGCU
rnacentral:sRNA from 1 species